GGUUGUGGCUCAGUGGUAGAGCGUUCGCCUCACACAUGCAAGACCCUGGGUUCGAUCCUCAGCACCA
rnacentral:tRNA from 1 species